rnacentral:rRNA from 1 species
GAUGAACGCUGGCGGCGUGCCUAAUACAUGCAAGUCGAGCGAACAGACGAGUAGCUUGCUCCUCUGACGUUAGCGGCGGACGGGUGAGUAACACGUGGAUAACCUACCUAUAAGACUGGGAUAACUUCGGGAAACCGGAGCUAAUACCGGAUAAUAUAUUGAACCGCAUGGUUCAAUAGUGAAAGACGGUUUUGCUGUCACUUAUAGAUGGAUCCGCGCCGCAUUAGCUAGUUGGUAAGGUAACGGCUUACCAAGGCGACGAUGCGUAGCCGACCUGAGAGGGUGAUCGGCCAAACUGGAACUGAGACACGGUCCAGACGCCUACGGGAGGCAGCAGUAGGGAAUCUUCCGCAAUGGGCGAAAGCCUGACGGAGAAACGCCGCGUGAGUGAUGAAGGUCUUCGGAUCGUAAAACUCUGUUAUUAGGGAAGAACAAAUGUGUAAGUAACUAUGCACGUCUUGACGGUACCUAAUCAGAAAGCCACGGCUAACUACGU